ACGCACGCUGGCGGCGUGCUUAACACCUGCCAGUCGAACGGAAAGGCCCUGCUUGCCGGGUACUCGAGUGGCGAACGGGUGAGUAACACGUGGGUUAUCUGCCCUGCACUUCGGGAUAAGCCUGGGAAACUGGGUCUAAUACCGGAUAGGAGCCAUUUUUAGUGUGAUGGUUGGAAAGUUUUUUCGGUGUAGGAUGAGCUCGCGGCCUAUCAGCUUGUUGGUGGGGUAAUGGCCUACCAAGGCGGCGACGGGUAGCCGGCCUGAGAGGGUGGACAGCCACAUUGGGACUGAGAUACGGCCCAGACUCCUACGGGAGGCAGCAGUGGGGAAUAUUGCACAAUGGGCGCAAGCCUGAUGCAGCGACGCCGCGUGGGGGAUGACGGCCUUCGGGUUGUAAACUCCUUUCGCUAGGGACGAAGCUUUUUGUGACGGUACCUAGAUAAGAAGCACCGGCUAACUACGUG
rnacentral:rRNA from 1 species